rnacentral:misc_RNA from 1 species
GUUUUCGUGCUUUUAACUGUUACAUUGAAUCCUUAUUCAAAGCUUCUAUAAUCUCUAUCAUUUGGCGUGUGUUACAGUAAUUUAAAGGUGCUUAAUCCCCACUUAAUAUUACCAAGAAAAGGAAAAUAAAGUCUGUCUCUUUCACUUUAUUCCAUCCGUCACUCUUAAACAUGUUUAUUCAAAGCUAAGUAACAUUUAAUUUUUUGUUAUCUACAUUUACGAGAGACCUUUAAUAACCUUUUCAUGGUGCCUUUUCUUUUCUCUUUUUUGGUUCCCUUUAUUAUUACCCAUAAGCCAAUAUAGUAUAUGCAGCCUUAUUU